rnacentral:misc_RNA from 1 species
UCAGACACAGUACUAAAACCAUUCAAACCAGCUGUGGUUCUUGAAUCGCCUGGGCUAGGGGAAAUAUCGGCUACAGGGGAGCUUGCUGUUGCAGGUGGCCCUCUAAUGGACAUUCCUCUGGCAAGCCCACCUUGGGGACCCAAAGUAAUUGAAUCAUCACCAAGAGGCCGAGGCAAGGGAACCGACAAAGUCCUAGCCUCGUGAGAUUGCCUCUCCUCAAAACGAACAUCCUGGGUCCCAUACCCACGAACCUGAUUAGGCAAACCAUGGAAACCUCCCAUCUGAGAAUUUGGGGAAGGUAGCAUCGCUGAACCUCUUGGCCCAAAAUCCAUAGGUGCCCUUCUCGCAGAGGGAUUGAUGCUAGGAUUGCGAACCAACCUACUAGCUUGAUUAUGUCGUUCUUGUGCAGCAUCUCUGUGUACUUCCUCAAUCUUUUUUGGCCCUUCAACCUUCCUCCUCUGCUGCCAUUUGUUUUUUCUCAGAUCAAUGGCAUCCUUCAACAUGAACCUAACCCUUGAAGACAGUUUCAUGUUGUUUGAUAGCAUUGUUAUCCUGUCAAAAUAGGCAUCCAUAUGCUCCUUGGCUUUGGGAUGGUCAAUCAGAUCUCCAAUUGUGCUCAUUAGCUUGCACAGUGCCUCAACAUCUUCCUCAUCAGGAUUCUG